rnacentral:rRNA from 1 species
ACAGAGGGGGCAAGCGUUAUUCGGAAUUACUGGGCGUAAAGCGCACGCAGGUGGCUGAGUCAGUCGAUUGUGAAAGCCCUGGGCUUAACCUGGGAAUUGCAGUCGAUACUACUCAGCUAGAGUAUGGGAGAGGGUAGUGGAAUUCCCGGUGUAGCGGUGAAAUGCGUAGAUAUCGAGAGGAACACCUGCGGCGAAGGCGGGUUGCUGGGCUGACACUGACGCUGAGGCGCGAAAGCUAGGGGAGCGAACGGGA